UCCCAAACCAACCUUAAUUCCUUUUCAAUUUUACUUGGAUAGAGAUACAGCUGCCGUCAUCUCUGAUUCCCUUCCCACUUCCCAGUCGACGCCUCUCUCCCUCACUUCACUGCGAGUGCUGAGACUGCCGGGCAGCCCAGACGGAGACAACCCUUCCCUCUCCCCAGUCGGCAUCGUCGACAUCUCCUUUUCUCUCCUCAGUCGACGACGACUCCUCCCUCUCCUCAGUCAGCGACAUCUCAUUUUCUCUCCCCAGUCGGCGACAACUCCUUUCCCUCUCUCCCCAGUCGACGUUUCUUUCUUUCGUUGAAUCGGUUACUCUAGUAAUCAAGAUUUGACUGGAACUCUCUUCAGGUAAAAACUCCAUCUCUCUGUGCUGAUUUUUCAAGAAAGAUAUAAUGAAGAUUGGAAGCUAUGCUGGCAUUACUAGACCCAGUUUCUUCCUUGUACAUCCAGAUUUACCCAUUUUUAUAUAUCACAAACCACAGUUGCAACCUGUACCAGCUCUGGGGGUUCAUACUGAGAACAUGAAGGGUAUUGGCUUGAUUACAAAAUUUCGGUGUUCUGUUGCUGAGAGAACAUACACAUUUAGCUCUGCAGAUUCAUCUGUGUCCAAGACAAAAAACGUUCGCUUGGGUCAGAAGCAAGGAGGUUCCUCCUCACUUUAUACUCAUCCUAGUUUGCUAGAGAUGAAGAAUAAGAAGAUAGCAAAUCGUGCCAGGGUCUAUGAGUUCCUGAGAAGUAUUGGCAUUGUCCCUGAUGAACUUGAUGGAUUGGAGCUUCCUGUGACGGUUGAGGUUAUGAGGGAACGUGUUGAUUUCCUCCACCAAUUAGGUAUUACAAUUGAAGACAUUAACAACUAUCCUCUUGUUCUUGGUUGCAGUGUAAAAAAGAAUAUGAUUCCUGUCCUUGACUAUCUUGGCAAAUUGGGUGUUAGGAAGUCCUCUUUCACUGAGUUCUUAAGAAGAUACCCACAAGUCCUUCAUGCUAGCGUUGUUGUAGACCUUGCUCCAGUGGUCAAAUAUCUUCAAGGAUUGGACAUCAAGCAAAAUGAUAUUCCUCGGGUUCUUGAGAGAUACCCAGAAGUUCUGGGAUUCAAGCUUGAAGGAACCAUGAGCACAUCAGUGGCUUAUCUAGUUGGAAUUGGGGUGGCAAGGAGAGAAAUUGGAGGUAUAUUAACUAGAUACCCUGAGAUAUUGGGGAUGCGAGUGGGCCGUGUAAUCAAGCCUUUUGUGGAGUACCUUGAAAGUUUGGGCAUACCAAGACUAGCAGUAGCUAGAUUGAUAGAGAAGCGGCCAUACAUCCUUGGUUUUGGAUUAGAAGACUUGGUUAAACCAAAUGUUGAAUCCCUUUUAGAGUUUAAUGUAAGAAAAACCUCACUUCCUUCUGUUGUAGCACAAUAUCCUGAGAUUGUAGGAAUUGACCUGAAGGCAAAGCUUCACAGUCAAAUGAGUUUGCUUCAUGCAGUUAUUGAGUUGGGUCCAGAGGAUUUUGCCAGAGUUGUGGAGAAGAUGCCACAGGUUGUCAGCCUUAGCAGAAUUCCUAUUUUGAAGCAUGUAGACUUCCUCAAGGAUUGUGGGUUCUCCUUGCAACAGGUGAGGGAGAUGGUUGUGGGAUGUCCUCAUGUGCUUGCAUUGAAUAUUGAUGUUAUGAAACUUAGCUUUGAUUACUUUCAAAUGGAAAUGGAAAGACCUUUGAAUGAUUUGGUUACUUUUCCUGCAUUCUUUACAUAUGGUCUUGAGUCUACUAUAAAGCCAAGGCACAAAAGGACUGCAAAGAAGGGGUUGAAAUGUUCAUUGUCAUGGCUUCUUAAUUGUUCUGAUGAGAAGUUUGAAGAAAGAAUGGACUAUGAGACGAUUGACAUGGAGGAGAUGGAAAUGCCAUCUUUUGACAUGAAUACUCUUAUGGAACCAAGGCGUGAGGAGUCUGAUUCUGACUAUGAGGACAGUGAAGAUGAGAGAGUAUAGUCCAAAGUCAACUUUAGGCAAUAAUCUGCUGUGGAGAAUCUUGGUUUCUGACAUUGGAUCUUCAUGUAAAGUAGGUGUAAUAGCAGAGGUGGAAUUAUAAUCUUUCAAUUGGAACACAAAGUGAACAGUGCAAAUAGAUCUGUGGGGAACUAUGAAGCAUUCUCAUGGUGAGUUUUUUUGAGCUACUAAAAGAGAUUGGAUCUUCUACACUGAAUAUUCCACUAUAGUCUAGGACAAGUAAUGCUGGUUUUAUAUUUUAAUUCUUGGAAAGUUUAGGAGAAUACAGCAAUUUUAGUUAUGUAUUUUUUAUUGCUGUAGUUAGCAAGAUCUCUCAGGGAAUGUGCACUUAUUUUAUUGUCAGUUGUGGCAGAAAUUUGUAUGAGAUGCUGCUGUUGUAUUCUUUGAUUUAUGUAAUGUUACCUGUCCGUUUUAUUACUGUUGAUUAUUGAUAAGAUUGGUGCUG